CCCGCUUGCGGGAGGGAGUACAGUGGCGCACGGGUGAGUAACGCGUGGGUAACCUGCCCUAAAAUCUGGGAUAACUCUGCGAAAGCGGUGCUAAUACCGGAUAUGGUUUCGAAGACUAUGGUUUUCGAGAUUAAAGGUGACCUCUUUAUAAAAGUUGCCGUUAUAGGAUGGGCCCGCGUACCAUUAGCUUGUUGGUAGGGUAAUGGCCUACCAAGGCUGCGAUGGUUAGCUGGUCUGAGAGGAUGAUCAGCCACACUGGAACUGAAACACGGUCCAGACUCCUACGGGAGGCAGCAGUGAGGAGUUUUGCGCAAUGGGGGAAACCCUGACGCAGCAACGCCGCGUGAGCGAAGAAGGCCUUCGGGUCGUAAAGCUCUGUCAAGUGGGAAAAACGUUUCCCGGUCAAUAGCCGGGAGAUCUGAUGGUACCACUGGAGGAAGCACCGGCUAACUCCGUGCCAGCAGCCGCGGUAAUACGGAGGGUGCAAGCGUUGUUCGGAAUUAUUGGGCGUAAAGAGCGUGUAGGCGGUUUAGUAAGUCAGAUGUGAAAGCCCUGGGCUUAACCCGGGAAGUGCAUUUGAAACUGCUUUACUUGAGUAUGGGAGAGGAGAGUGGAAUUCCUGGUGUAGAGGUGAAAUUCGUAGAUAUCAGGAGGAACAUCUGUGGCGAAGGCGACUCUCUGGACCAAUACUGACGCUGAGACGCGAAGGCGUGGGUAGCAAACAGGAUUAGAUACCCUGGUAGUCCACGCCGUAAACGAUGAGAACUAGGUGUAGCGGGUAUUGACCCCUGCUGUGCCGAAGUUAACGCAUUAAGUUCUCCGCCUGGGGAGUACGGCCGCAAGGCUAAAACUCAAAGGAAUUGACGGGGGCCCGCACAAGCGGUGGAGCAUGUGGUUUAAUUCGACGCAACGCGAAGAACCUUACCUGGGUUUGACAUCCUUUGACCACCAUGGAAACAUGGUUUU
rnacentral:rRNA from 1 species